rnacentral:rRNA from 1 species
UCAUGGCGAGAUGUUGAAAGACGGUUUCGGCUGUCACUACAAGAUGGGCCCGCGGCGCAUUAGCUAGUUGGUAGGGUAAUGGCCUACCAAGGCGACGAUGCGUAGCCGACCUGAGAGGGUGAUCGGCCACACUGGGACUGAGACACGGCCCAGACUCCUACGGGAGGCAGCAGUAGGGAAUCUUCCACAGUGGACGAAAGUCUGAUGGAGCAACGCCGCGUGAGUGAAGAAGGUUUUCGGAUCGUAAAACUCUGUUGUAAGGGAAGAACACGUACGAGAGUAACUGCUCGUACCUUGACGGUACCUUAUUAGAAAGCCACGGCUAACUACGUG